rnacentral:rRNA from 1 species
UACAGGGGGUGCAACGUUGCUCGGAAUCAUUGGGCGUAAAGCGCACGUAGGCGGUCUGUUAUGUCGGAUGUGAAAGCCCUUGGCUCAACUGAGGAAGUGCAUCCGAAACUGGCAGGCUAGAGUACUAAAGAGGAUCGCGGAAUUCCGGUGUAGAGGUGAAAUUCGUAGAUAUCGGGAGGAACACCGGUGGCGAAGGCGGUUCUCUGG